CCGGUGGCUUUCCUGCCAACGUGAGCGGC
rnacentral:sRNA from 1 species